AGAGUUUGAUCCUGGCUCAGAGCGAACGCUGGCGGCAGGCCUAACACAUGCAAGUCGAACGAACUCUUCGGAGUUAGUGGCGGACGGGUGAGUAACACGUGGGAACGUGCCUUUAGGUUCGGAAUAACUCAGGGAAACUUGUGCUAAUACCGAAUGUGCCCUUCGGGGGAAAGAUUUAUCGCCUUUAGAGCGGCCCGCGUCUGAUUAGCUUGUUGGUGGGGUAAUGGCCCACCAAGGCUACGAUCAGUAGCUGGUCUGAGAGGAUGACCAGCCACAUUGGGACUGAGACACGGCCCAAACUCCUACGGGAGGCAGCAGUGGGGAAUCUUGCGCAAUGGGCGAAAGCCUGACGCAGCCAUGCCGCGUGUAUGAUGAAGGUCUUAGGAUUGUAAAAUACUUUCACCGGUGAAGAUAAAUGACUUAGCCGGAGAAGAAG
rnacentral:rRNA from 1 species